rnacentral:snoRNA from 14 species
CCCGAUGAUUGGAAACGGAGUGAGCUGAGGUGUGAUGACCGACUUCCCGCUGAGG